UGGGGAAUAUUGGACAAUGGGCGAAAGCCUGAUCCAGCCAUGCCGCGUGUGUGAAGAAGGUCUUCGGAUUGUAAAGCACUUUAAGUUGGGAGGAAGGGCAGUAAGCGAAUACCUUGCUGUUUUGACGUUACCGACAGAAUACGCACCGGCUAACUCUGUGCCAGCAGCCGCGGUAAUACAGAGGGUGCAAGCGUUAAUCGGAAUUACUGGGCGUAAAGCGCGCGUAGGUGGUUCGUUAAGUUGAAUGUGAAAGCCCCGGGCUCAACCUGGGAACUGCAUCCAAAACUGGCGAGCUAGAGUAGGGCAGAGGGUGGUGGAAUUUCCUGUGUAGCGGUGAAAUACGUAGAUAUAGGAAGGAACACCAGUGGCGAAGGCGACCACCUGGGCUCAUACUGACACUGAGGUGCGAAAGCGUGGGGAGCAAACAGG
rnacentral:rRNA from 1 species